AUUGAACGCUGGCGGCAUGCUUUACACAUGAAAGUCGGACGAGUGGCGAACGGGUGAGUAACAUAUCGGAACGUACCGAGUAAUGGGGGCUAACUAAUCGACAGAUUAGCUAAUACCGCAUAUUAUUCGAGCGGCAGAUAUCUGAUUAGCUGGUUGGUGGGGUAAAGGCCUACCAAGGCGACGAUCAGUAGCGGGUCUGAGAGGAUGAUCCGCUACACUGGGACUGUGACACGGCCCAGAUGACUACGGGAGGCAGCAGUGUGGAAGUUUGUGCAAUGGGCGCAAGCCUGAUCCAGCCAUGCCGCGUGUCUGAAGAAGGCCUUCGGGUUGUAAAGGACUUUUGUCAGGGAAGCGGUACCUGAAGAAUAAGCACCGGCUAACUACGUGCCAGCAGCCGCGGUAAGUC
rnacentral:rRNA from 1 species